AUGAACGCUAGCGGCAGGCUUAACACAUGCAAGUAGAACGGUAACAGUCCUUCGGGAGCUGACGAGUUGCGAACGGGUGCGUAACGCGUAUGCAACCUACCUUUAACUGAGGGAUAGCCCAGAGAAAUUUGGAUUAAUACCGCAUAACAACUUAAGAUGGCAUCAUCUAAAGUUUAAAACUCCGGUGGUUAAAGAUGGGCAUGCGUGACAUUAGCUAGUUGGUGAGGUAACUGCUCACCAAGGCUACGAUGUCUAGGGGUUCUGAGAGGAUGAUCCCCCACACUGGUACUGAGACACGGACCAGACUCCUACGGGAGGCAGCAGUGAGGAAUAUUGCGCAAUGGAGGAAACUCUGACGCAGCCAUGCCGCGUGCAGGAUGACUGCCCUAUGGGUUGUAAACUGCUUUUAUAUAGGAAGAAUUGCAGAUACGUGUAUCUGUUUGACGGUACUAUACGAAUAAGGACCGGCUAACUCCGUGCCAGCAGCCGCGGUAAUACGGAGGGUCCAAGCGUUAUCCGGAAUUAUUGGGUUUAAAGGGUCCGUAGGCGGGAAAUUAAGUCAGUGGUGAAAUCCUACAGCUCAACUGUGGAACUGCCAUUGAAACUGGUUUUCUUGAAUGUAGAUGAAGUGGGCGGAAUGUGUCAUGUAGCGGUGAAAUGCUUAGAGAUCUGAAGGAAUACCAGUGGCGAAGGCGGCCCCCUGGAUUGAUACUGACACUAAGGUGCGAAAGCGUGGGGAGCAAACAGGAUUAGAUACCCUGGUAGUCCACGCCGUAAACGAUGUCUACUAGCCGUUGGGGAGCUUGCCUCCUUAGUGGCGCAGCUAACGCAAUAAGUAGACCGCCUGGGGAGUACGGUCGCAAGAUUAAAACUCAAAUGAAUUGACGGGGGCCCGCACAAGCGGUGGAGCAUGUGGUUUAAUUCGAUGCAACGCGAAGAACCUUACCAGGUCUUGACAUCCUGCGAACUUUCUAGAGAUAGAUUGGUGCCUUCGGGAACGCAGUGACAGGUGCUGCAUGGCUGUCGUCAGCUCGUGUUGUGAAAUGUUGGGUUAAGUCCCGUAACGAGCGCAACCCUUGUCCUUAUUUGCCAGCACGUAAUGGUGGGAACUCUAAGGAGACUGCCGGUGACAAACCGGAGGAAGGUGGGGACGACGUCAAGUCAUCAUGGCCCUUACGACCUGGGCUACACACGUGCUACAAUGGGAGGUACAGAGGGACGCAAACCCGCGAGGGGGAGCUAAUCCCACAAAACCGGUCGUAGUCCGGAUUGGAGUCUGCAACUCGACUCCAUGAAGUCGGAAUCGCUAGUAAUCGUGAAUCAGAAUGUCACGGUGAAUACGUUCCCGGGCCUUGUACACACUGCCC
rnacentral:rRNA from 1 species